rnacentral:lncRNA from 1 species
GCUUCACUACUGGUGGCAGUCAGACAAGUUUCAACUGCUAAAGAAUUCUCAGAGUACUGGUAACUAUAAUGCUUAGGAAUCUACAGGUUAUUGCAAGAAAAGAAUGCAAAAUAGCAGCAGCAUUGAAAUAAAAGAAAUGCAUCUCAACCAAAGAUCUGCCUCACAGCAUAGAUCAGGAGAAGCCAAGAACUAGCUCUUACUGUCCUCCAUCUGCAGGACCACAGCGGACACACUUUUUCUCUCAAAUCAGAACCACCAAGAUAGGCACAGAACACCCUGGAACCAGGGAACCUAGUGUAGGCACAUUCUUGUGAAGUAACCGGCCCCAGUGGCAGAGCCCUCUGGAAGUCUCACUUAGACCAGGUGUAAACCAUCAUCUCACUGUUAUCAAUAAACGAUGCUCACAAGCUGGUACAAACUACCAGACACUGCCCUUUGGCCCCUCGGUUGAAAAGCAACACUAUUAAUCAGUACAACUCACACCUUGACUAGGAGUCAAUACUGUCUUGGCACAUCUCUCACUUCAGCAAAACAGCUCAGACCAAUUCCAGGCACGCUGGGAUCAACCCUCAGACCAUAGCUUUUCUUAAAUAAAACUGUGCAACGAAAACACUGACUGAAACUCUGGAUACACGUGCAUGGCUUACCUCUGACUCUUGGUGAACAAGCAUUUUCAUCGGGGAACACCAAACGGAAAUUUUGGAAACUUCAUUAUCCGAGGCAACUCAGACUCUCUAGGAAAGGUUAUGAUCCGCGAGAAGCCGGAAGUCAGAUAACUACCCAUCGGGAAACCUCUCGCGGGACAGCAAGGCCUGCCGCGAGAUGUCGUCGGCCGCCGCUCUGCGCUCGUCCUGCUGGAAACCUGGCCGCGGGAACUCACAGCCCUGUCGUUUUCGUGCGCUUUCCGUCCUACAUCUGGAAUGGAGUGACUGCUGUGGCAAUUCCUGGAGAAGAUUUUUUAAUUGUUGCUUUUGACAGUUUGGUGAAGGAUUUUCAAUUCACAUCUGGCCCCAAAUGUUAUAAAUUAACAGACAAAACAAACAUUGGAUGCGGCGGUUUUCAUGGAGCCUGAGGCUGACAAGCGUUAUUGAAGCAAGACUAAAGAUGUAUACGCAUUCCAGUAUUAAGGCGUGACUAAGGGGGCUGUUGCUGUGAUGCCGUCUACAAUCCUCUCUCCGAGGUGCUUCUUUCCAUACUGUUUGCAACAUCUUCAGGGUGAAGAAGUAAAGGGAGUCAUGUACAGCUUGGACGGUGUCAGGGUAGGGUGUCUGUUGGUUCACGGUCCUGGGAUUUCCCAGGUGAAAUUCAAAACUGGCCUGUGUCCAUGGAGAGCAAGGAGAGACUGAAGACGGAGGCAGACCACUCCAAAUUGAAAGCACCUGCAGAUCUUCAUGACUGUCCCUGUUGUCAAAGAUAGCAUUAUUGGGAGUAAGGAAAUUGUGCAGUCAUCAGCAAAUCCAUUUACUCCAAAGAGAGAAGAUAUUUCACAGAAGACAUAUCUGGCUAUCUAGGACUUCCUGCUACAGAAUCCAACUAAAGUAGCAAAAGAUCACUGAUUUGCCAUCUGCCUCAAAUCCCAUGUCCACCUCACACUCAUCAAAACUGACCUCUGCUAUAUCCUAUUUCCUUAGGUCUUUGCUUUCUUUUUGAGAAUGGGUCAAUAAAUUUUAGUUAAAAUGCCUACUUUCAAUAAUGACAUAAUAUCUUAUCCUCUCCUAGAGAGUAUUUCCUUUUAAUCAUGUAUUUUAAUGGAAUAAACAAAAUGGGAUUUCAGACUUAAUAGGAAAGUAGAAAUGGCAUGGUGCAAUUGCAAAUAACACAUUAAUCAUUUAUGCAAUUGACAAAUAUUUCCAGAUAACAUGCCAAACACCAGAAGUACAAUUUCAAGAAAAAUAGACAAGGCUCCUGCCCUCAUGGAGCUUAAAGUGUGGUGGGAGACUAGGGGUUAACAACACAAGGAAAUAUAACAUUCUAAACUGUGGUAAAUUCUAUCAAUGUAAAGCCUAGACUUCUAUGCACAAUCUUAAAGGUGAGACUUUUUGGGGAACAGAAGAACAGAGAAAGAUUUACUCAUAAAUGUUUUUGCACUUAAUACAGGGAUACCAUUAUUUUCUUUUACCAAAACUUCCACUUAAUGUGCACAUCUGGUGUUUUCUAUUUCAUACUCUGGGAUUUAAUAUUAUAAAGCUUAUACAUUGAUAUGAACAACUUAGAUUUCCAGCUAAAACAGUCUUGCCUCGAAGUGUGUAAUUCAUUCUAAAGACUGUGCAUGGAUUGAAGCUUAUGGACUUUAGAAGGAGGGUACAAAUAGUAGAAGUAGGGAUUAUGUUUUUAAGCCCAUGCUGGAAAGACUUAUCCUGGAAUGUAUGCAACAUAUUUUAGGUCACAGUUUAAAAUUUUUCCAGAGCAUAGACUCUGGAAUGCAUAAUUUCUCCACUUGUCCAUCAAUAAUGACCAUCAUUUUUAGAAAACUAUAUCCUUUUAAAGUUCCUAAUUUUAAGUGAGUUUGAAGAAGUAAACAAGAGGCUAUGUGUAAGGCACAAAAAUGUUUAUGGAGUUGGCUAUUGGUCUUUUGAGUAAGGAUAAGAUUGAAAGAAUUGAUAUAAUUUAGCUUGCAGAAGAGAAAAUUUAGUGGUAACAUUAAUAGUCUUCAAAUGUCUAAAGGAUUAGUAAGGAGGAGAUGGUAACCAGAUGUUCUGGAUGUCUACAGUGGAAAGAGCAAGAUUAAAUCAGCUUAAAGUGCAGCAAGAGAGAUCAAGGAUAGACAUAACUUUCAGAAGAUAAGGGAAGAUAAGCACAACAGCAGACUACCAAAGGAAAUUAUGCAGUCUCUGACAUCUGUCUGAUACUAUUUAGGUAUAGAUCUGUUUGAGGGUCCCUCCUGACUUAUAUCUCUCUGAUUAUUUGUAUACAACAUUGGAAUCAAGAUUUCUUGGGAGGAGAUUACCUAGAAACCAAACUAGCAGUAAAAUUUAAGUAGUCAGAGGAGGAAGAAAAUCAAUAGAUUUCAAAACAAUAACAAUGAUUUCAUAAUUUGCCCUCAGGAAACAGAAUAGGAGUUGAAUCCAAAAUUAGCUGAGUUUUUAAAAGUUAAUUUCUUUACUGUAGUAUCCAACAUUAUUUGGAAGUUAACUCCUUCCCUUGCCACCAAUAUGGAAGAAAUGUGAUUCACGAACUCUAGAUUAUCUGAGCAAUUCUUCAACAGAUCUUGGAUCUUGACAACACGUAACAUAUACCUUUGAAUUUGUGCCUUUUAAAACAAACUUGAACACAUAAAACCAGUUUAUUUCUUGUUCCUUUAUAAAUUGGCGGUUAAGAAUUAAAGUAAAUGGAGCAAAAUAGGACCAUGAACACAACAAAUGGAGAUUAUCUACCAUUGAUUGAAGCCAACGAUAAUGAUAAUAGUAGAUAAGAUUGCCUACUUUUUGUGUACCAGGCAAUGUGAUAAAUAUAUAUUUGAUUUUAUUUAAUCUUCAAAUCAACCUUAUGAGUUGAGUACUUCUAUUACCCCUAACUUACAAAUAAACAAGCUAAGAUUUAGAUGAAAAGGUAAUUUGCCCAAGGUCACAUAUACAGUAAAUGACAGUUUCUGAAUUGAACAUGGGUUCUUUUGACUCCUGAGUACAAAUUCUCAACCACUAUGAAAUACAUUUACCAAAAUCCAAUAAAGUUAACACUUCUCUGAUGUAGAGGAAUUUUAUGGGACAAAUUCCUCCUGCCAUUCAGGGGCUAGAAAUGACUAUUUAUUCAAGGAAAGAAAGGAG